ACGCUUCCUUCUCUUUCUUUUUUAAAAAGUUUUCCAGGAAACUAAAGAGGAAAAUGCUUCGGCAUCAAAAUGCGUUCAGGCUCUCUCGUUAACUGGCUCGUCAGAGGAAGCGUUUGCAGAAAUUUCUCUGCUGUAAUGUCAGUAUGACCUGAAAACAUUAUUGUGCAGGAUGGAGGGACACUUGAUGCUAAUUUCUCUUGUUUUUCUACCAAAGCACAAAAACGCUUCAUGCAACAGUGGAGUCAGUUUGUCCUAUUUCUGGAGUGUGAUGGAUAACAGAACGGUGUAGUGUUGAAGCGAAAGGUCUCAUGUGUGAAGAGUCGGUGUUGAUAAUGUCGUGACACAACAGCCGUUCAGCUGAGAACUUAAAUGCAAAGACUGGAGACGCUGUGAAUCACAGGAGGAGUUGAACAAAACACAACGUGAAAUAAAACUUCAAAGUGUUUGUUACGUCCUCGAGAAAGUCCAAAGAACGAGGGGAGCGACAUUAAAUAGGCACAUGGGGACAAAAAGGAAGCAAGGAACCCAAAAGUACAACUCAGUAUAACACAAACUCCCCUGAAAACAUCCCACUGGCACCAGCUGCAGCUCUCUGCAGGUUUUAAAGCUUGAGGCCUUGACGACAAAAUGGAGGCACCUGUGUGACGGGCGGCAACCUGGAGAGAGACGGGGCACCGAAAAGAAACUCAACUACAGAUAACUUUUGAGCUCCUGGAUGUCCUCUGGAUGACUGUCCCGUCUCUGCAGCAGGCAGACGAACUCUUCACCCUCCCGACAUCAAGAGACGCAUCUGUGAUCUUCUGCUACAUCACAAGCUCACAGAUGCGAGAGGAUUCGUCCAGAUCAGAUCGUCCCAACUCUGCCUUUAUUUAUUUUUUAGAAUCGACCGGGUUAAAAAGCUUUUGAAGCGCGUGCGUCGCAUUUCCAACGCAGCUCGGCCUCGUUGCUAAGAAGAAGAGAAGCGACCUCAUGUAGGAUUUAUGCCUCGUGUAGACACGAGAAGUGGAUUUCCUUCUCUUGUCCUCCGUCUCGUCAACACCAGCACAUGUAUAUUUUACUGCUGAUGCCGAUGACAAUAUGCACAAACAUCAGUCAAGCAAAGGAAUAAUGGAAGAGACGAGUCUGCACACGACAUCAGACGUCUCCACAAGAAAAACAGCAGAUGUCAGAGUCAAAUCUGAGACGGACUUGGCUGCGUGUGGACAGCAGAGGGCAGAGCAGCAUGCUGUUUUCACUGGAGCUGAUGCACAGCAGAGAGAGAUCAUGUAAGCUUAAGAGGGAAACUGGCAACUAAUAAAGAGCUAAACAAGCUUUGCAGAAGUCAGAACCUUCUCAACCCAGCGGAAAUUAAAAACGAAAAUUGCCUCCGGAAAGAAAUAAACACGCAGCUUCCAGAAAUCAAA